GAUUUCACAUGCUUCAUCAAAUUAUAAGUUGUUAAGGGAGAAAACUUCACCCUGCAACUUGACCGUCAACGGUCCACGCCCUCCAUUCAUCGUCGAGGCUCACAUUCAGUUUGCGUAUCCAUUUUAAUGUAGCCAUGUAAGAGAUUCUCUUACACUUUCGUCAUUUGCCCACACAUAGGAUGUCAAAUAGUUCCGAGUCUGCAAAAGAUGACAGCAUUGCAUUAAGGUCUAGGUCGAUGAUGACAUGGAAGAAAUGUAUAGGCAGAGGGGAGGAUUACGCGGCAUUUUAGUUCAUCUCGGUUGGAGAGGGAGAGGGAGAGGGAGAGGGAGAGGAAGUCGACUGGAUCAUCUACCAGCCAUGGUUGGAACCUUCUAGAAUCACUUGGUCUUGGUGACAUGAAAUUGCAUGUUGGCUCCAGAAUGUGAGCAUAGUUGAUCAACUUGGUGCACUGCACUUAAAUAAAAGGCAGCUGUCAUCCUUGUCUAAAACAUUACACUAAAUAAUAUUUGCAAGGAUAUUGUCUAAAGACUAA